GAACGGGGUCUGGGAAUGAUGGAUUGGCCCUCUCUCGAGUUGACAGAGGAGAAUUUGUAUUCUCCAAUAAUCCUUGAGCAGGACAUCACCGAACAGACUAGUGGGCAGCCACAGGGGGCUGAAGUUCCUGAUAAUACCCCGAAGGAACCAUCUCAGAAGAAAAGGAAGCUAGAGAAGCAAUUUUGCUGUAAUCAUCCUGAACAAACAAAAAUGGUGAAUCUCUUGAUUUCAAUUAGAGAAGACAAAGAGAAUUGAUCAAAGACUUUCAAACAUUGAACGUGGUUUUGAGGGCAACCUUGAUUUCGUAUCAGCUGAUCUGUCAAUACCUGAAAAAUAUCAAAUUUCAAUUCCUAUCAGCUCUAUUGAACUCCUUCAACAUUUCGAACAACAAUUACUGAACAAUCGUCAAUGCCUCACUGAUACCCUCAAAGUGAGGAAAAUCCUCAAAACAACCAAAAUAUCGAUGAGCGCAUCCAGUAUUUUGAAAAAGUUCAUAACCAGAGAGGUGGCCAUGCAGUAUACUGCCAGCAAGCAAAUGUCCGAUAAAUUCGUGAUGAAAUUAAAUCUUCCCCAGUUCAUGGGGUGCCUUACGGAGACUCUCGUAGCUGCUCACAACGUAACCGAGAAAGAUGCUGAAAACGCAAUAGGCACAGCACUUACGCACGCGAAAGGCUGGGAUGGACAUCGAAAUGUAAAAAAAGCUCAUGGUGCUGGGAAGAGUAACCGAACAUCAUCAGCUUCAGGAACUGGAAGUUCAUCCGACGAUGGACAACUAUUCAACACUGGAAAGACUGACAACUUGACGGGCAUCAAGGAUUCUUGGGAGAGAAUGAAGACACGAAAUUCGAGUCUGUGGGACUCUCAUUCAGGAGAAACUUCCGAGUCAGAAUGAGUGUAGUUUUUAUAAAGGGGGAUCGACGUUAUACCCUGGAGAAAAUUAUUAAUGUGUUGAAUUAGUGAUACAAGAUGAAUUUUUUUAUCAGGAAU